CCUUCUUCCGACAGACACAUUUGAGAACCCCUUUCCUCUCUCUUCUCUCUACAACUCUCUUAACAUCAUGUGUUCAUGAAUGAAGAUACGGAGAUAUGAAGAUAUCUCUUCUAUAUCUUCAUGAGUGAAUUACCAAUCUUACGGCAUGUAACAUAUGAGAUAAAUAAUAAACAUUUCCUUUACCCCGUGGAUGUAGGCUUUGCCGAACCAGUUAUACCUUGUGUCCAAUUUCUUAUUUAUAUUUCUCUGCAUCUUAAUUUCGUUUUAUGAUUUCGAUCCAUAUUUGGUGUUUACUGUUUGUUAUAUCAUUUCAUUAUUUGGUUGUGCUAUCAAUUAAUGAAAGGAAAUUUGUUUGUGGACACCACCAUACCAUCAUUAUUUUCGUGUUCACAAGUAUGCUCUGUUAGUACUCUUGUACCCAUACUCUAGUAUCUUUAGACCUAGAAUUUUGGUUUUCUCGUAUCAUCUGAAGUGCAUGAUGCUUUAUAGUUAAAAAUGCUGGUGUCAUGGUAUGUGCUAAGAAACUAUUAAAUCCAUGAACUACUACAAAUAAGGUUGAGUUGAGAGCACAGUUCAUUUUAGAUCCUACUAUAGGUUAUCCAUUUUUGCCGAGAAUAGGUAAGAAACUAUUUAGGUUUGUUUGAUUUUAUUUCUUAUGCGUGAAUCAAUACAUUUUUCGGUUUUGAUCUUGUCUGGAAAUUAGUAACCUGUUUUAUAGCAUAAUGAAAAGAAUAUGUCAUCAAAAUGAUUUGAGUGAGGUUUUCUUUGUUUGUUUGCCUUAUCGUGUAUAUAUCCGUUGAUGACUGUGAGAGAUAACGGAGAAUUUCUCUUUUGUUUUGCUGAUCAGCCUUGCUCUUAACAAAUUCCUUGCAAUGGGACGACCUGCAUGGAAGGAGGCUCGCUCCACGAUUCAGAAAUUACUCUCUGCUGAUGAGCCAACUUUACGGGAGAAUGCGAGUUUGAGAGAGAAAGCAAUUCUGCCAAUGGUAAUAAAAAUAUUUAUAGGCUUAAUAAGUUUAGCUUGCGGUAUUGUAUUGGUUGAAAGCUGAACAAAGCUCCAAUUCUAGAGCUUCUGGUCCCAUUUGAGAGAAUAUAGACUAAUAGGAUCCAUGGAUUUUGAGAUUUUUUCGGUGUUUUUUGCUGCACACGAAAUGGGGUAGGUGAUCGAUAUUCAUACUUAUCAAACCUGCUCACUAAACAAAACCUUUACCCUAAUUCUAUUCUCCACACUUUUCUGUUCUCUCCUCUUUUUCUCUGCCGUCACCCUGUUUCUAUUCUGAACAGAUACUAGAGAAGAUGAUCUAACAAGUUACAUUUGCUAGGGAAGAUCAUCUAACAAAUAUUAUGGUAGCGGUACUACAACAGCAGUGAGGUCUACGAGAUUGAUAACGAAAAUGGAGGUGAGGGCUUGAAUAUGUGAAUCUGUGACUCAUAAUCGUGGUCCGUCGAAAGACUGAAGAUUUGCAUACUAGAAGAUAAAAAGAUCGGUCCUAACUGAAUUGUGUUGGUGUUUCUUUGUCUAAUUUGUGAUGUUCUAGGUGGCACAUAUGAUUAGAGAUGUCAAUACUAACCCAGCUUCAAUUGUCAAUUAGGAAGAGUGAAACAAAUAUGUGUACCCGUUGCAUCCGCAUGUAAUAUAAUUCUCUUCUAUAUUUUUUUACUACAUUUUGAGAAUAUAUUGUUUACUUUUAAACCCAUAGUUUGAGGUUUUCCCUGUAGUAUAUGUACUUUGUUCUGAAUGAAAUUUAAAAGUCGUAAACUGAAGUUCAUCUUGAGAUAAAA